GACGAACGCUGGCGGCGUGCUUAACACAUGCAAGUCGAACGGAAAGGCUCCAGCUUGCUGGAGUACUCGAGUGGCGAACGGGUGAGUAACACGUGGGUAAUCUGCCCUGCACUCUGGGAUAAGCCUGGGAAACUGGGUCUAAUACUGGAUAUGACCUUUCUCCUUAUGGGGUUUGGUGGAAAGUUUUUCGGUGUAGGAUGAGCCCGCGGCCUAUCAGCUUGUUGGUGGGGUGAUGGCCUACCAAGGCGACGACGGGUAGCCGGCCUGAGAGGGUGAUCGGCCACAUUGGGACUGAGAUACGGCUCAGACUCCUACGGGAGGCAGCAGUGGGGAAUAUUGCACAAUGGGCGGAAGCCUGAUGCAGCGACGCCGCGUGAGGGAUGACGGCCUUCGGGUUGUAAACCUCUUUCAGCAGGGACGAAGCGUAAGUGACGGUACCUGCAGAAGAAGCACCGGCUAACUAUGUG
rnacentral:rRNA from 1 species